UCUACCUGAGUUACUCGUUCAAACUAAGGGGGAAGGUCAAGGUCAAGUUCCCAACAUGUAAGGACAUCACCACGACAAGUGCAGAGUUGGAGUUUGAGUUGGUGUUGGUGAAUCCAGUGUUGGCGAGGAACACCUAGCCACGGAUAACUUGCCAGGAGAUAAUCUCUACAUAUGGGAAUACCUGCAGCAGAUUAAAACUUGAUGGCUAAAAGCGGACCUCGAAAAGAUUACAUUGUGCGGUG